rnacentral:rRNA from 1 species
UGAGGAAUAUUGGUCAAUGGGCGAGAGCCUGAACCAGCCAAGUAGCGUGCAGGAUGACGGCCCUAUGGGUUGUAAACUGCUUUUAUGUGGGGAUAAAGUGCGUGACGUGUCAUGCAUUGCAGGUACCACAUGAAUAAGGACCGGCUAAUUCCGUGCCAGCAGCCGCGGUAAUACGGAAGGUCCGGGCGGUAUCCGGAUUUAUUGGGUUUAAAGGGAGCGUAGGCUGUCUAUUAAGCGUGUUGUGAAAUAUACCGGCUCAACCGGUGGCUUGCAGCGCGAACUGGUCGACUUGAGUAUGCAGGAAGUAGGCGGAAUUCAUGGUGUAGCGGUGAAAUGCUUAGAUAUCAUGACGAACUCCGAUUGCGCAGGCAGCUUACUGUAGCAUAACUGACGCUGAUGCUCGAAAGGGCGGGUAUCAAACAGG